rnacentral:rRNA from 1 species
AGUGAACGCUGGCGGUAGGCCUAACACAUGCAAGUCGAACGGCAGCACAGUAAGAGCUUGCUCUUACGGGUGGCGAGUGGCGGACGUGUGAGGAAUACAUCGGAAUCUACUUUUUCGUGGGGGAUAACGUAGGGAAACUUACGCUAAUACCGCAUACGACCUACGGGGGAAAGCAUGGGAUCUUCGGACCUUGCGCGAUUGGAUGAGCCGAUGUCGGAUUAGCUAGUUGGCGGGGUAAAUGCCCACCAAGGCGACGAUCCGUAGCUGGUCUGAGAGGAUGAUCAGCCACACUGGAACUGAGACACGGUCCAGACUCCUACGGGAGGCAGCAGUGGGGAAUAUUGGACAAUGGGCGCAAGCCUGAUCCAGCCAUACCGCGUGUGUGAAGAAGGCCUUCGGGUUGUAAAGCCCUUUUGUUGGGAAAGAAAAGCAGCAGGUUAAUACCCCGCUGUUCUGACGGUACCCAAAGAAUAAGCACCGGCUAACUUCGUG